rnacentral:rRNA from 1 species
GUUAGUGGCGAACGGGUGAGUAACACGUGGGCAAUCUGCCCUUCACUCUGGGACAAGCCCUGGAAACGGGGUCUAAUACCGGAUAACACUCCUCCCUGCAUGGGGAGGGGUUAAAAGCUCCGGCGGUGAAGGAUGAGCCCGCGGCCUAUCAGCUUGUUGGUGGGGUAAUGGCCUACCAAGGCGACGACGGGUAGCCGGCCUGAGAGGGCGACCGGCCACACUGGGACUGAGACACGGCCCAGACUCCUACGGGAGGCAGCAGUGGGGAAUAUUGCACAAUGGGCGAAAGCCUGAUGCAGCGACGCCGCGUGAGGGAUGACGGCCUUCGGGUUGUAAACCUCUUUCAGCAGGGAAGAAGCGAAAGUGACGGUACCUGCAGAAGAAGCGCCGGCUAACUACGUGCCAGCAGCCGCGGUAAUACGUAGGGCGCAAGCGUUGUCCGGAAUUAUUGGGCGUAAAGAGCUCGUAGGCGGCUUGUCACGUCGGAUGUGAAAGCCCGGGGCUUAACCCCGGGUCUGCAUUCGAUACGGGCAGGCUAGAGUGUGGUAGGGGAGAUCGGAAUUCCUGGUGUAGCGGUGAAAUGCGCAGAUAUCAGGAGGAACACCGGUGGCGAAGGCGGAUCUCUGGGCCAUUACUGACGCUGAGGAGCGAAAGCGUGGGGAGCGAACAGGAUUAGAUACCCUGGUAGUCCACGCCGUAAACGUUGGGAACUAGGUGUUGGCGACAUUCCACGUCGUCGGUGCCGCAGCUAACGCAUUAAGUUCCCCGCCUGGGGAGUACGGCCGCAAGGCUAAACUCAAGGAAUUGACGGG